UUUCCGUAGGUGAACCUGCGGAAGGAUUAUUAAUGUGUUUGGGCCUCACGGCUCUUCAUUCCGACGCUGUGCGCCUUCGGGCUGCACGCUGAGGGAGCAUAUAUCCACCCCUGUGCACACACACGGUGGCGAGCUGGGUAACGGCUCGCCGCUGAUCUUUACACACGUCUAAAAGUCAUUGUAUGUUUAUUUGAGAUAAAAACACAACUUUCAGCAACGGAUCUCUUGGCUCUC
rnacentral:misc_RNA from 1 species